rnacentral:rRNA from 1 species
GAUGAACGCUGGCGGCGUGCCUAAUACAUGCAAGUCGAGCGAACAGACGAGGAGCUUGCUCCUCUGACGUUAGCGGCGGACGGGUGAGUAACACGUGGAUAACCUACCUAUAAGACUGGGAUAACUUCGGGAAACCGGAGCUAAUACCGGAUAACAUGUCGAACCGCAUGGUUUAACAGUGAAAGACGGUCUUGCUGUCACUUAUAGAUGGAUCCGCGCCGCAUUAGCUAGUUGGUAAGGUAACGGCUUACCAAGGCAACGAUGCGUAGCCGACCUGAGAGGGUGAUCGGCCACACUGGAACUGAGACACGGUCCAGACUCCUACGGGAGGCAGCAGUAGGGAAUCUUCCGCAAUGGGCGAAAGCCUGACGGAGCAACGCCGCGUGAGUGAAGAAGGUCUUCGGAUCGUAAAACUCUGUUAUUAGGGAAGAACAAAUGUGUAAGUAACUAUGCACGUCUUGACGGUACCUAAUCAGAAAGCCACGGCUAACUACGUG